AUUGAACGCUGGCGGAAUGCUUUACACAUGCAAGUCGAGCGGCAGCACGGGGGCAACCCUGGUGGCGAGCGGCGAACGGGUGAGUAAUACAUCGGAACAUGCCCAGUCGUGGGGGAUAACACUUCGAAAGAAGUGCUAAUACCGCAUACGUCCUGAGGGAGAAAGCGGGGGAUCUUCGGACGUCGCGCGAUUGGAGUGGCCGAUGUCAGAUUAGCUAGUUGGUGGGGUAAAGGCCUACCAAGGCAACGAUCUGUAGCUGGUCUGAGAGGAUGAUCAGCCACACUGGGACUGAGACACGGCCCAGACUCCUACGGGAGGCAGCAGUGGGGAAUUUUGGACAAUGGGCGCAAGCCUGAUCCAGCCAUGCCGCGUGCAGGAUGAAGGCCUUCGGGUUGUAAACUGCUUUUGUACGGAACGAAAAGACUCUGGUUAAUACCUGGGGUCCAUGACGGUACCGUAAGAAUAAGCACCGGCUAACUACGUGCCAGCCGCCGCCGUAAUAC
rnacentral:rRNA from 1 species